rnacentral:rRNA from 1 species
GAUGAACGCUGGCGGCGUGCCUAAUACAUGCAAGUCGAGCGAACAGACGAGGAGCUUGCUCCUCUGACGUUAGCGGCGGACGGGUGAGUAACACGUGGAUAACCUACCUAUAAGACUGGGAUAACUUCGGGAAACCGGAGCUAAUACCGGAUAAUAUAUUGAACCGCAUGGUUCAAUAGUGAAAGACGGUUUUGCUGACACUUAUAGAUGGAUCCGCGCCGCAUUAGCUAGUUGGUAAGGUAACGGCUUACCAAGGCAACGAUGCGUAGCCGACCUGAGAGGAUGAUCGGCCACACUGGAACUGAGACACGGUCCAGACUCCUACGGGAGGCAGCAGUAGGGAAUAUUCCGCAAUGGGCGAAAGCCUGACGGAGCAACGCCGCGUGAGUGAUGAAGGUCUUCGGAUCGUAAAACUCUGUUAUUAGGGAAGAACAAAUGUGUAAGUAACUAUGCACGUCUUGACGGUACCUAAUCAGAAAGCCACGGCUAACUACGUG